AAACAAGACAGUCAUUAACCUAGGACAAAUGAAAAUAUGGGAGGGAAAGCAAGCGUAGUAAGGAUCACGUCUGUUCAGUCUGUCGCUGACACACCUCAAGAAAUCCCCGAUGUGAAAGAGGAGGUUGCAAGCACGUAUGUGAGAGUGUACUGAGAACAUGCUGUCUAUCAAAAUGUCGCCUUGUGUUGCGUCUCUGUCCCUCACGCCCUUUCCUUGAGGAAGAGCCUUGUCUGUAUGAGCUGUGCGAUCAAAGCCUGUGCUGGCAGCUCUCUGCACUGAAACCUGGGACUUCCUGGGGCUGAAAGCCUUGAAUUUUUGCCUCUGGAGCUGCAGAGCCAUUCUGUCCAACUGUAGCUGUUGCACGCCUGUCUGUGCACUGGGUGUACACCUUAAAACCACAUUAGUGGCGCAGACUCUUGCUCGGCUGGCGAACUGGUGUCAAUCUGCUUGCCAGACCCUCAGUUUAGGUCUCAGAAGUCUGGGAAUGAAGCCUAAUCUUCCAGGACUGGAAAGCGGUGAAUGGAGAGGACAGACCGUGGAUCUUCAUCCAGCAUCAACAGAAGGGAAGCAUCAUUUGGGCAGGAGAGUGUCUGGAGGUUGGUGGGAUCAUCUGUGCUCUCCUUUGGUCACAGAAAGGUACAGUAUAUCUGGGUAUUAUUUAUACAUGUGUACAUACACUCACUUCCAAUACAGAGCACAGUCACCCAACAAGAGUAGCAGAACUGAGCAGCUACCCUUCUUUCUACACAAGGGUGGUAGCUUGCAACCAUCUACUGAUCCUCUCCUUCAGCUUUCCCGGUUUGUGUUGCAAAAAAUCCUUCCCCGAGCCAAGAGAUACAGGCUUCAACUGGUGCAGAGCUUCUGUCAGCAGUGUGAGUGGCCUGCCACUACCAGCACUGGGCAGCAAGCUAGCAAGAGGCUGAUUCCUGGCACAGCGCAGGGCUGCUGCGUUCUUAGCUCUGCUCCUCAUUUCAAUGUCCGGAGUGAGUUCAAAGUUGGGCAAAGCGCCUUUGCAUCAGUGAAUACAAGCUUCUCACUUUUUUCUUCAGCCAAUGUGUGUUUCUAGACAAAAACAUUGCAAAGUCCAGCGCUAAUAGCCCUAUCUGUUACUAUAAUGACUUAUUGCCAUUAAACAAAGAGCCAGGUAUGUCAGGUAUGCUAAUAAGGAACCAUCCCCAAACCCUGGCUGUAUCUGUGUGCUGAACAUCGCAGGAGGUACUAAUGGGGAGCAGAAGUCAUAAUCAACGCAGAGAGAUGUUUUUGAACAAAACCAAAUGCUGUUUGCUUGGAUGGGCUCAGUCGUGAAAAGCUGAGCGUCUUUUACUCCCGUUGAUUUCACGGAAGCUGAAAAUCCUCAAUAUCUGCAAUGACAUCUCCCAGAAUAGACUACAGUUGUCAAUGUGAAAUACUGUCAAUAUUUCUCCAUAAGGCCAAUGCUA
rnacentral:lncRNA from 1 species